UCUCAAUUGUCAUUACAUCUCUCUACCCAAGCACAGCAUGAAGUGAUUUAAGAAGCAGAAUUACAAUUCAUUAGCCAUUUGUAAGUCAUUAGUAUUCAGUCACACUAGCAAAAAAUUAAAGUAAAAAAUGUAUAUUAUAUAUAUAUAUAUAUAUAUAAUAUACAUUUUUUACUUUAAUUUUUUGCUAGUGUGACUGAAUACUAAUGACUUACAAAUGGCUAAUGAAUUGUAAUUCUGCUUCUUAAAUCACUUCAUGCUGUGCUUGGAUAGAGAGAUGUAAUGACAAUUGAGA
rnacentral:misc_RNA from 1 species